rnacentral:rRNA from 1 species
UGAGUAACGCGUGAGUAACCUGCCUUCAAGAGGGGGAGUAACAUUCUGAAAAGAAUGCUAAUACCGCAUGACAUAUCGGAACCACAUGGUUUUGAUAUCAAAGAUUUUAUCGCUUGAAGAUGGACUCGCGUCCGAUUAGUUAGUUGGUGAGGUAACGGCUCACCAAGACCGCGAUCGGUAGCCGGACUGAGAGGUUGAACGGCCACAUUGGGACUGAGACACGGCCCAGACUCCUACGGGAGGCAGCAUG